rnacentral:rRNA from 1 species
AUUGAACGCUGGCGGCAUGCCUUACACAUGCAAGUCGAACGGCAGCACGGGAGCAAUCCUGGUGGCGAGUGGCGAACGGGUGAGUAAUGUAUCGGAACGUGCCCAGUCGUGGGGGAUAACGUAGCGAAAGCUACGCUAAUACCGCAUACGAUCUAUGGAUGAAAGCGGGGGAUCGCAAGACCUCGCGCGAUUGGAGCGGCCGAGAUCAGAUUAGGUAGUUGGUGGGGUAAAGGCUCACCAAGCCGACGAUCUGUAGCUGGUCUGAGAGGACGACCAGCCACACUGGGACUGGGACACGGCCCAGACUCCUACGGGAGGCAGCAGUGGGGAAUUUUGGACAAUGGGCGCAAGCCUGAUCCAGCAAUGCCGCGUGCAGGAUGAAGGCCUUCGGGUUGUAAACUGCUUUUGUACGGAACGAAACGGCGAGCUCUAAUACAGUUUGCUAAUGACGGUACCGUAAGAAUAAGCACCGGCUAACUACGUGCCAGCAGCCGCCGUAA